rnacentral:tRNA from 1 species
GACAUGUAGCUCAACGGUAGAGCAAUAGGCUGUUAACCUAUAGGCUGUGAGUUCGAAUCUCACCAUGUCC